rnacentral:rRNA from 1 species
UGGGGAAUAUUGGACAAUGGGGGCAACCCUGAUCCAGCAAUGCCGCGUGUAUGAAGAAGGUCUUCGGAUUGUAAAGCACUUUCGACGGGGACGAUGAUGACGGUACCCGUAGAAGAAGCCCCGGCUAACUUCGUGCCAGCAGCCGCGGUAAUACGAAGGGGGCUAGCGUUGCUCGGAAUGACUGGGCGUAAAGGGCGUGUAGGCGGUUUACACAGUCAGAUGUGAAAAUCCCCGGGCUUAACCUGGGAGCUGCAUUUGAUACGUGUAGACUAGAGUGUGAGAGAGGGUUGUGGAAUUCCCAGUGUAGAGGUGAAAUUCGUAGAUAUUGGGAAGAACACCGGUGGCGAAGGCGGCAACCUGGCUCAUGACUGACGCUGAGGCGCGAAAGCGUGGGGAGCAAACAGGUUAGAUACCCUGGUAGUCCACGCCUGUAAAACGAUGUG